GACGUAGGAUGCAAGCGUUGUCCGGAUUUAUUGGGCGUAAAGAGUUCGUAGGCGGUUUAUUAAGUCUGGUGUUAAAGAUUGGGGCUCAACCCUGGGACAGCACUGGAUACUGGUAGGCUGGAGUGUGGUAGAGGUAAGUGGAAUUCCAGGUGUAGCGGUGAAAUGCGUAGAUAUCUGGAAGAACACCGGUGGCGUAAGCGACUUACUGGGCCAUAACUGACGCUGAGGAACGAAAGCUAGGGUAGCGAAUGGGAUUAGAUACCCCAGUAGUCCUAGCCGUAAACGAUGGAUACUAGGCGUAGUGGGUAUCGACCCCCGCUGUGCCGUAGCAAACGCGCUAAGUAUCCCGCCUGAGUAGUACGGCCGCAAGGUUG
rnacentral:rRNA from 1 species